rnacentral:lncRNA from 1 species
UGGCAAGACUAAUUUGUCACGAAAUUUAGCUCAGCUGGCCGAGUGCCUUCUCAGUUUCAAAAGGACGCGUUUCCAGGAUUUAGUAGCCUCUCAUCCUCUGUGUGGACCCACUCCUCGCGGCUGUACAGUGAACAGUUUAAGCAGAGCGGUGUUCCAGGGAAGCCUCGGAGUUGAACAGACUGAAAUCCACAUGAGGCGGUAUGGGAAGGACAUCUCUGCAGUUGCUAAGAGCAACAAGGUGGGUUUCCAUUGGUCAGUGUUGUUUGACAAUUAGCCCAUCUCACAUUUUUCCGUAGAUGCCGUCUUGAGAACCAAGUAAGGAUGUGCAACAGAGGCCGAGAAUUGUCCUAGAAUGCGCCCCCUGGGGCUUCACUUUAGAACUGGGGUUAGCCAUGAGUAAUGACCAGCUUCUCCUGGUUGCUUUAUGUCCCAGCCUCUGGCAGCAUUAAG